rnacentral:ncRNA from 1 species
UGCGGGUGAGGAAACCCGGUGCAAAUCCGGUGCGGUCGUGCCACUGUAACCGAGCCUUCGGAAGUCAGACCUUCAUUCGCA